rnacentral:rRNA from 1 species
CGGGGGGCAGCAGUCGAGGAUCUUCGGCAAUGGGCGAAAGCCUGACCGAGCGACGCCGCGUGUGGGAUGAAGGCCCUCGGGUUGUAAACCACUGUCAACGGGGAGGAAAUACAGAAGGGCUAUCCCUUUUGUUUGACCUAUCUGUGGAGGAAGUACGGGCUAAGUUCGUGCCAGCAGCCGCGGUAAGACGAACCGUACAAACGUUAUUCGGAAUUACUGGGCUUAAAGGGUGCGUAGGCGGCGCGGACAGUUGGGUGUGAAAGCCCUCGGCUCAACCGAGGAAUUGCGCUCAAAACUACCGUGCUCGAGGGAGACAGAGGUAAGCGGAACUCAAGGUGGAGCGGUGAAAUGCGUUGAUAUCUUGAGGAACACCGGUGGCGAAGGCGGCUUACUGGGUCUUUUCUGACGCUGAGGCACGAAAGCCAAGGUAGCAAACGGGAUUAGAUACCCGAGU